rnacentral:lncRNA from 10 species
AUCUCUGCGUGACUUCCGCCAGCGUUUAGAGCGUUUUCGGGGUCCGAGUUGAAGAGCAAAACCAAGUGAAGGAAACUUCACUAAGUUCAGGGUGACAAGGGAGGAAGUACAGAGACUGCACUUUAAAUUCUGGAUGACAGACCUAUCAGGACUGAGUGGACCUUUGAGUGACAAGAUGGGGGUGUUCCAAAGAGACCAUGGCAGCCUGCAGCUAGGACUUUAAUAAACAGAGCGCUUAAAAAGCACUGUCUGGAUAUCUUCAGAGGGAAAAAGGAGAAAGUUAACUGAAUUGGUGACACUUCGGGUCUCUCACAGAGGAAGGGAAAUGGUUAUUCUUGAUAUUUUGAGCAAACUCUUCUUCUCUGAUCAGUGCCCAGAACAAGGAAACAGACCUUCUCUUUCCAGUACCUCCUAUCUAUCUAGAUAAUACGGAAGCCAGGGAGAAGAAUGGGAACCCAAGAUCUAUGAGCCCUUAUGGCAUAUGAAAAGUGGGUGUUAUCUGAAAAGUAGAACUCUAGAUGAAACCAGGCCUUUCCCAACAAUGGAGCCCAGGACAAUGCUGUCUUCAAUGUCCAUACCAUUAGACUUGUUAUAGAUGAGUUUCUAUAAUGAUGGCUUUCUGGUUAAUUAAACCUUCUGAAUGAUUCUGUGUAACACUGACUUCUGUGAUUCAUCACAGAACAAGUCUUCCUUCUUUCAUGGAGUAUUACUGUUUUCAGUGACUAUAUUUGGUUGUUUACUCUUUUUGGCACCAAUCACCCAGUGAAUCAACAACCAGAGUUGCAAACAAAUUACCCUCAUUGUCUUUUCCGAGUCCCUUAAUUUACUUUAUUUUUCAUUUGUUGCAAAUGUCAUUGUUUCUGCUAAUGUUGUUUUUUAACAUCUGCCAAGAUAAAAAAUAAAAAAAUCACUUGUAAUCCUUGUAGCUUGUUUUCUUCACGAGUCAUAGA